rnacentral:lncRNA from 1 species
AGAAUGAUGUUGCUUUGGGAGUGGUGCCCCUAAACCCAGUAUUGCUGAAGAAAGAAGUAUAUUAUGUAGAACAGGUACCUGGUCAUAAUCAUUUCCCUCUUGCGUCAUGAUCAUUAGACCGUAAAAAUAUGAGGAAGAAUGAUGUUGCUUUUUAAUUUUUGCACAAUACCAAAAACAUUUUAGGUAGUUCAUAAAUAAAACUGACGUGAGAAAGGAGCCACGUGGGGGGAAAUAUAAGGCUGAAUUUAGUUGGUAGUCCUCACUGGAGUACAACCUCUCAAUCGGUGUGAUUAAUAGAAGUAUUGGCUCAACAUUCAGCAAUAUAUUUAAUGGUUCUACUUUAGCUGGGACCAGCCAGUUGGACUUAGGCCAUUAUCACCAGCUGUGAAGAUUGCAGAACUUGAGAGAAGAUAAUGAAUGCUUACCUCAUAGAUCAGGAGCGGGCAAAGCACAGCUUUCCAGCUGCUGUGGGGUUGCAUCUCCCACCAGCCCUAGCCAGCACAGCAAAUAACAAGAAAUACUGGGAGCUGCAGUCGAACAUCUGUUGGCUCAAAACAAAGUUGUCCACCACUACAAAGCAUGUUUGUUUUCUUUCAGAUUGCAAACUACAGAGUUGCUUUAUAUCAGCAAUAGCCAACUUAACCACAUUUUAUACGGACAUUAUAAAAACAACAGUGAGCCUGGUGGCAACACACAGGCAGUCGACAGAGAAAUGUGAAAGUGAGAGGUCCAACCACUCAGCUGACCAGCGUAUCACAUUGCCAUGCAGAAUCCAGUGGGGAAACAAAAGCAGUUUGGAAAAAGGGACACCCCCAAGUGGGAGUAACCCACUUCAAGCAGGUAAUUAGCAAAGCUAGAUGAAGACCAUACCUGAAUAUCAAAAGAGGGACAAUCACUUUCUAUGAUGAAUCAGCUAUCCCAACUCUGUCAGAUCUACCAAUGAAUUCCAUAAGGUAUACACCAUAUUUUUGUCUUUGUUGAUUUUGUUUACUUUUUAUUUCUAUUUUGUUUUUAUCUAUAAUGCUUGCACGGACUAACAUGGCUACAUGCACAGAAUAACAUGGCUAUUCCUACAACCACAAUAAAUUCCAGCACAGUGCUUCA